rnacentral:lncRNA from 1 species
GAAUUUCCUGCGGAGAUUAAAACACGCUUUAUGUACCUAAAAAUACAAAAAAAAAAACUCAAAAUUGGUGUUAAAAAUCUUUUUCGGCUAAUUUCAGAAUUCUAGCAUAGCAGCACCGCCGUAUUCUAGUAACGGCAUUGCUGCCCGUGGCAACGAUUCGCCUCAGCCUGACCAUUUUUGGCCAUUUUUGGCUGGUUUCGAUCGUUUUUAUAACCAUCCCUGCAAGAAAAUAUGUUA